rnacentral:tRNA from 1 species
AAGUAGCCGCCGGUGGAACGGAGAUCAUUGAUGUUGAUUUUACGAGAAAAAUCUUUUCUGCUACUUU